rnacentral:rRNA from 1 species
AUGUUAUCACGGGAGACACACGGCGGGUGCUAACGUCCGUCGUGAAGAGGGAAACAACCCAGACCGCCAGCUAAGGUCCCAAAGUCAUGGUUAAGUGGGAAACGAUGUGGGAAGGCCCAGACAGCCAGGAUGUUGGCUUAGAAGCAGCCAUCAUUUAAAGAAAGCGUAAUAGCUCACUGGUCGAGUCGGCCUGCGCGGAAGAUGUAACGGGGCUAAACCAUGCACCGAAGCUGCGGCAGCGACGCUGAUGCGUUGUUGGGUAGGGGAGCGUUCUGUAAGCCUGCGAAGGUGACCUGUGAGGGUUGCUGGAGGUAUCAGAAGUGCGAAUGCUGACAUAAGUAACGAUAAAGCGGGUGAAAAGCCCGCUCGCCGGAAGACCAAGGGUUCCUGUCCAACGUUAAUCGGGGCAGGGUGAGUCGACCCCUAAGGCGAGGCCGAAAGGCGUAGUCGAUGGGAAACGGGUUAAUAUUCCCGUACUUGGUGUUACUGCGAAGGGGGGACGGAGAAGGCUAUGUUGGCCGGGCGACGGUUGUCCCGGUUUAAGCGUGUAGGUGUGUGUUCCAGGUAAAUCCGGUUCACUUUAACACUGAGGCGUGACGACGAGGCACUACGGUGCUGAAGCAACAAAUGCCCUGCUUCCAGGAAAAGCCUCUAAGCAUCAGGUAACACGAAAUCGUACCCCAAACCGACACAGGUGGUCAGGUAGAGAAUACCAAGGCGCUUGAGAGAACUCGGGUGAAGGAACUAGGCAAAAUGGUGCCGUAACUUCGGGAGAAGGCACGCUGACACGUAGGUGAAGUGAUUUACUCAUGGAGCUGAAGUCAGUCGAAGAUACCAGCUGGCUGCAACUGUUUAUUAAAAACACAGCACUGUGCAAACACGAAAGUGGACGUAUACGGUGUGACGCCUGCCCGGUGCCGGAAGGUUAAUUGAUGGGGUCAGCGUAAGCGAAGCUCCUGAUCGAAGCCCCGGUAAACGGCGGCCGUAACUAUAACGGUCCUAAGGUAGCGAAAUUCCUUGUCGGGUAAGUUCCGACCUGCACGAAUGGCGUAAUGAUGGCCAGGCUGUCUCCACCCGAGACUCAGUGAAAUUGAACUCGCUGUGAAGAUGCAGUGUACCCGCGGCAAGACGGAAAGACCCCGUGAACCUUUACUAUAGCUUGACACUGAACAUUGAGCCUUGAUGUGUAGGAU